AACGAACGCUGGCGGCAUGCCUAACACAUGCAAGCCGAACGAAGGCUUCGGCCUUAGUGGCGCACGGGUGCGUAACGCGUGGGAAUCUACCCUUGGGUUCGGAAUAACAGUGAGAAAUUACUGCUAAUACCGGAUGAUGUCGCAAGACCAAAGAUUUAUCGCCCAAGGAUGAGCCCGCGUAGGAUUAGCUAGUUGGUGAGGUAAAGGCUCACCAAGGCGACGAUCCUUAGCUGGUCUGAGAGGAUGAUCAGCCACACUGGGACUGAGACACGGCCCAGACUCCUACGGGAGGCAGCAGUGGGGAAUAUUGGACAAUGGGCGAAAGCCUGAUCCAGCAAUGCCGCGUGAGUGAUGAAGGCCUUAGGGUUGUAAAGCUCUUUUACCCGGGAUGAUAAUGACAGUACCGGGAGAAUAAGCUCCGGCUAACUCCGUGCCAGCAGCCGCCGUAAUAC
rnacentral:rRNA from 1 species